AGUAAUCGCGGAUCAGCACGCCGCGGUGAAUACGUUCCCGGGCCUUGUACACACCGCCCGUCACACCAUGGGAGUUAGCUGUACCGGAAGUCGGUGAGCCAACCCGCAAGGGAGGCAGCCGCCUAUGGUAUGGCUGGUAACUGGGGUGAAGUCGUAACAAGGUAGCCGUAGGGGAACCUGCGGCUGGAUCACCUCCUUU
rnacentral:rRNA from 1 species